AAAGCGCGCAAAAGACGAGGACAGAGUAAGAAACACAAACGACGGACGGAUGUGUUUCUUACUCUGUCCUCGUCUUUUGUGCACUUUUA
rnacentral:pre_miRNA from 1 species